AAUCCAUAGGUUAAUGAGGCGAACCGGGGGAACUGAAACAUCUAAGUACCCCGAGGAAAAGAAAUCAACCGAGAUUCCCCCAGUAGCGGCGAGCGAACGGGGAGGAGCCCAGAGCCUGAAUCAGCAUGUGUGUUAGUGGAAGCGUCUGGAAAGGCGCGCGAUACAGGGUGACAGCCCCGUACACAAAAGCGCAUGUGCUGUGAGCUCGAUGAGUAGGGCGGGACACGUGGUAUCCUGUCUGAAUAUGGGGGGACCAUCCUCCAAGGCUAAAUACUCCUGACUGACCGAUAGUGAACCAGUACCGUGAGGGAAAGGCGAAAAGAACCCCGGCGAGGGGAGUGAAAAAGAACCUGAAACCGUGUACGUACAAGCAG
rnacentral:rRNA from 10 species